rnacentral:rRNA from 1 species
GACGAACGCUGGCGGCGUGCUUAACACAUGCGAGUUGAACGGAAAGGCCCUGCUUUUGUGGGGUGCUCGAGUGGCGAACGGGUGAGUAACACGUGAGUAACCUGCCCUUGACUUUGGGAUAACUUCAGGAAACUGGGGCUAAUACCGGAUAGGAGCUCCUGCUGCAUGGUGGGGGUUGGAAAGUUUCGGCGGUUGGGGAUGGACUCGCGGCUUAUCAGCUUGUUGGUGGGGUAGUGGCUUACCAAGGCUUUGACGGGUAGCCGGCCUGAGAGGGUGACCGGCCACAUUGGGACUGAGAUACGGCCCAGACUCCUACGGGAGGCAGCAGUGGGGAAUAUUGCACAAUGGGCGGAAGCCUGAUGCAGCAACGCCGCGUGCGGGAUGACGGCCUUCGGGUUGUAAACCGCUUUCGCCUGUGACGAAGCGUGAGUGACGGUAAUGGGUAAAGAAGCACCGGCUAACUACGUG